rnacentral:lncRNA from 1 species
GAAAAGAAGGAAAGAAAAAAAAACAGGAGAAAUGGUAGCUCUAUGUCAGUCAUAGUCACAGCUGUUACUAGGGGAAAGAGGCAAAUUUAGAGAACUAAACUCUUACCCUCAUGAAUUUUGAUUAGAAUUGCCUUUGGGCCAAAUUUUCUCAUUAGAUGCUAAUAAAUGUUUUCCAUCAUGUGCAAGGAAGGUUUUACAAAAAUUCCAUUUCCCAGAACUCUGUGAAUGAAAUGGAAACCCCCUUUUCUGGUUGUGGAAAAAAAACAAAGACAAAAAGUUCCUAGCUCAGAGUUUCUUGAGUCCCCUCUGGUUUGGCUAGGUGGCGCCCUAGCCUAAUGCAUGGGCUUCCUUGGCGCCGGGCGGCCGCUUUCUGUGGGGGGUAAGAGUGAAGAGAAGGAAGAAGACUUCAGCUUCUGCGGUUCUCCCCAGGAGUUAGUCAGGAUCCUCAGAUCGACUGACAGGAGGUGAAACUAAUUCUGAUUUACACUAUCAUCUUCCUGCUUCUACACCUUUUGCCAAGAUAAAACCCAUGACUCCCUAGAAAGAAUCAGAGAAUGAAGAUGUAAAGACAGGAACUGUUGGAGCCAUUUUGCUACUAGGAUGAAAAGAGCUUACAAAUGAAGCCGACAUGAAGAGAAGGGUGCAGAUGAGUGGAUUCCACUUAGAAUGUAUCUUGUCUGGCUUUCUAAGAGAAUAUGAAGCAGAUGGAUGCUGAGUUGGAACACUUCAUUCUCCAGAGUGCUUGCUCAGCUAUGACCUGGUGUCACGAUGGACUACACCUGUGUAUCCUGACUGUAGUGGGCCCUGCUGUUCAUCCUGGAGUGGUCACAGCCCUACAAGAGAAACAGCUUGUGGAUUGGGAUAUGGCAGGGGGGUAACUAAUCAGACUCCCUGGAAUGUUAACAUCUUGGUAAAGCUGCCAUUUAAG